UGUCCCUUUUAAAAGACAGUCCAGUGAGGCUGACAAAGGGAGGUUAAACAGGAAGCGAUUUUAGCCUGCUUCUUUUUGUACCCUCUUUGUCUAGAUAUGGACAGAGGGUUUUUUUA
rfam:Virgibacillus soli strain PL205 scaffold000033, whole genome shotgun sequence.